rnacentral:rRNA from 1 species
AGAGUUUGAUCCUGGCUCAGAUUGAACGCUGGCGGUAUGCUUAACACAUGCAAGUCGAACGGUAGCAGGCCUUCGGGCGCUGACGAGUGGCGGACGGGUGAGUAACGCGUAGGAAUCUGCCUUAUAGUGGGGGACAACGUGGGGAAACCCACGCUAAUACCGCAUACGCCCUACGGGGGAAAGGAGGGGCUCUUCGGACCUUUCGCUAUGAGAUGAGCCUGCGUUAGAUUAGCUAGUUGGUAGGGUAAAGGCCUACCAAGGCGACGAUCUAUAGCUGGUCUGAGAGGACGAUCAGCCACACUGGGACUGAGACACGGCCCAGACUCCUACGGGAGGCAGCAGUGGGGAAUAUUGGACAAUGGGCGCAAGCCUGAUCCAGCAAUACCGCGUGUGUGAAGAAGGCCCUAGGGUUGUAAAGCACUUUCAAUGGGGAGGAAAACCUGCCGGCCAAUACCCGGUAGCUUGACAUUACCCAUAGAAGAAGCACCGGCUAACUCCGUGCCAGCAGCCGCGGUAAUACGGAGGGUGCGAGCGUUAAUCGGAAUUACUGGGCGUAAAGCGUGCGUAGGCGGUCUGUUAAGUCAGAUGUGAAAGCCCUGGGCUCAACCUGGGAACUGCAUUUGAAACUGGCGGACUAGAGUUUAGUAGAGGGGAGUGGAAUUUCAGGUGUAGCGGUGAAAUGCGUAGAUAUCUGAAGGAACACCAGUGGCGAAGGCGACUCCCUGGACUAAAACUGACGCUGAGGUACGAAAGCGUGGGUAGCAAACAGGAUUAGAUACCCUGGUAGUCCACGCCGUAAACGAUGUCGACUAGCCGUUGGUCCUAUAUACAGGAUUAGUGGCGCAGCUAACGCAUUAAGCCGACCGCCUGGGGAGUACGGCCGCAAGGUUAAAACUCAAAUGAAUUGACGGGGGCUCGCACAAGCG